rnacentral:rRNA from 1 species
AACGAACGCUGGCGGCAGGCUUAACACAUGCAAGUCGAACGGGCGUAGCAAUACGUCAGUGGCGGACGGGUGAGUAACACGUGGGAAUAUGCCUUUCGGUUCGGAACAACUCGGGGAAACUCGUGCUAAUUCCGGAUACGCCCUUACGGGGAAGGAUUUAUCGCCGAAGGAUUAGCCCGCGUUGGAUUAGCUAGUUGGUGAGGUAAUGGCCCACCAAGGCGACGAUCCAUAGCUGGUUUGAGAGAACGACCAGCCACACUGGGACUGAGACACGGCCCAGACUCCUACGGGAGGCAGCAGUGGGGAAUCUUGGACAAUGGAGGAAACUCUGAUCCAGCCAUGCCGCGUGAGUGAUGAAGGCC